AUGCGGUAAUACGGUAGGAAACAGUGCAUCUUUCGUGGGCCCAGAUCGUAUCGGGGGAACGGAGGACGCGCGUGUGCGUUCUGGUCCGUGGACCAGAACGUUCUCAUCUCAACCGAGCCACGGAUCAGAAUCGUCGCCCCCCUCUCUUCUCCCAAAACCGGCGGCGCUCGAUCUGCACCGGCGGCCACGUGAUGGAAGAGGCUGGCCUCGAUUUCCUGCUCGAUGCCGUCCACAGGCCAUCGCCGUCUUGUUUCAGGGGAGGAGUUUGAGGACUAUCUUGAACACCCAGAUCCGGUUCCUCUGGCCUUGUUCCUGAGAAGCGAAGCCAGCCGCGCCGUCCCUGCGGACUCAAAUGCCGGGUCUGGUUGCGGGCAACAGGACGGGGAGUGCGCCGGCGUCCCGAUGCUUCUCUGACUCGGUCGGGGCAGUCAACUGACCCCGAGGCCUCUGGUUGGACAAAAAGGUUACAGCUCGGUAGUGCACCACCAGACCAAGACACCUUGUCCCUGGGAUGAGUGCUCACAAUUAUGCAGAGGAACCGACAAAGAGUGUAGUGCGACCUGCACUUGCUCGGGCGAGGCAUAUGAUUUCUACAAUUUGUACACUUGGGAGAUCGGGUUCGGAAUUAGAUAUGAUAAGAUCAGGCUCAACGCUGAGAGGACAAAAUGCAUGGAGGAGAUAGUCUGCGGUUGCUCGGUGCCUACUGAACUCUGCUUACAUAGUUAUAUUUGAGAAAAUGGGAUUGGGCCAAUGUACUCCCCAAGUACUUCUGGUUACUGUACAACUUAGACUAUACAUGCUUGGCGAGCAGUCAUAAUUCUGAACGAAUGAACAAUUGGAGGCUAGUGGGACAUGCGGGUCUUGAAAGGUUCAAGACAAUAACAAGCAGUUACUACUUACUACCGGGGAGUGCAUGGAAUCAUUGUAAGCCCUCAUGGACACCCGUAUUACUUUUUAUCAUAUUCUUGUGACACUCAACGCCGUCUUUUUGGAACUGUUUUACUCAGAUGUAGUAAUAUAGUACUCUAGGAUCGGUUGAAUUGGUUCACAGUUUCACUUUAGCCAUUGACCUGAACUUAUCAUUUUCACGGCUCGCUGUUAUCUACAUUUACAAAAUAAUGUGAUUUCGGUUGUACUGGCUAACAUCUAACCGCCAUUUUAGUUUGAGCUUACCUGUUAUACUUGAAUGGACAGAACAACGUAUUGCUAAUUGGCACACACCAAAAAAAACACUCUCAACUUGUUUCAUGCUUGAAAGGUUGGCUUGCCUCUUUGUUCUUGAUACUCUUCUUCGUAAUGUGAUUCUGAUCUUUUCUAUUCAAAUAUAUAAUGAAGUGACUAAAAUAUCAAUGAUUAGUUUCAGGCAUUUGCGGAAUCAUUAGGAAUGAAUUUUCUUGAGAGUUAUGCUACGGAAUCCACUAAUGUGGAGAGAACUUUCUUAAAUAUGUCAUCAGAAAUGAAGAAAAGAUAACCAGGAGCUACACACUUUUAGAGGCCUUUUUUCUUCCCAGUUUCUCUGAAAUGUUAGAUCUCAUCGAAUGACCUGUAUUCUUGUGAAAAAGAAAGGCUUUCGGAAUUCCGUCCAAUAUGUUUGCAUUACUGGUUUAAAAAAUAUGAUAUGCUCAUCUUUUUAUUGGGUUGUGUGCAUGAUCAAGAGAAGCCGAGAGAGCAAUAAUUUCUUGCUUUUCGGAAGAAAAACUGCAAGCAAGAGCAAUGACGAACAAUUUCUCAAAUACUUCCCAUGGAGCCUUUCAUUACAUUAAUUCUGCAGAGUUCAUAAUUGACACAAACAGUUUAUUUAGGUAUUGGCUUUAGUUUUUCUGAUGGCUAAGGACAGAUCAUGCAGUUAUCUCCUCUUAUGACUACUUCUGCUGCCUUCUAAAAAUCUGAAUGACGAGCCAAUCUGCCACGGAGAGGAAAUCUACUGUCCAUGUUCACAUGAAAGGGCAGCCCAUACAGCAACAGAACAGCAGCUGCUGCUCCGCAUAGGCUCAGCAAGACUCCAUUCCCAUGUGUUAUGAUAUUGUUGAGUGGACAUGAUUUUGUUGUGUUACUGUUUACCAUGGAGUACAUAUUUAAUACCCGCCAAUGUAUUAGGUGCAUUUGAUGGAUCUUAGGUAACGAAAAUUGUGUGAAAACAUGGUUAAUUAAAGCUUAGUAAUCAUCGCCCUGUCA